GAAAUGCGAUAAGUAGUGUGAAUUGCAGAAUUCAGUGAAUCAUCGAAUCUUUGAACGCACAUUGCGCCCCUUGGUAUUCCAUGGGGCAUGCCUGUUCGAGCGUCAUUUGUACCUUCAAGCUUUGCUUGGUGUUGGGUGUUUGUCUCGCCUCUGCGCGCAGACUCGCCUCAAAACAAUUGGCAGCCGGCGUAUUGAUUUCGGAGCACAGUACAUCUCGCGCUUUGCACUCAUAACGACGACGUCCAAAAAGUACAUUUUUUACACUCUUGACCUCGGAUCAGGUAGGGAUACCCGCUGAACUUAAGC
rnacentral:misc_RNA from 1 species